rnacentral:lncRNA from 1 species
UGUAUAUUCACUUUAACUACCAACUGAUAAAUUAAAACAAUCUUUACCAUUCAGUAAUAACAAGCACUUUAUUUUACAUUUUAAUAUUUUAUGAUGUAUUUAAAUGAGUAGUUAUUGUUGCAAACUCCAUUAAAAAUUUGAAUUGAGAUCAGUUUUGGAAAAAGGGAAAGGGGGAUGUGAAAAAAAAAUGGGAGGGGGGGGGUUAAAUUUUUCUCAUUUCAGAUUUCAUAAAUAAAAAGAAAAUUUCUUCAAACAUUUUUUUGAGAGGAUUAAUAUUCAACAGCAUAGUGAAUUGCUCAAAGGCAAAAAAAAUAUUUUAAGUUCAUUAGACCACAUUCAUUCUGUGUCCGAAACUUAUGCUGUGUCAACUAUUUAAUCACAAUCCAAAUUUAGAGCUGAAUCCAGCUUGAAUGUUGUGUCCAUACUUGCCUCAACCGUUCAGGGUUCAACCUCUGCGGUCGUAUAAAGCUGCACCCUGCAGAGCAUCUGGUUCUA